GUCCAGACUCCUACGGGAGGCAGCAGUGGGGAAUAUUGCGCAAUGGGGGGAACCCUGACGCAGCAACGCCGCGUGCAGGAAGAAGGUCUUCGGAUUGUAAACUGUUGUCGCAGGGGAGGAAGACAGUGACGGUACCCUGUGAGAAAGUCACGGCUAACUACGUGCCAGCAGCCGCGGUAAUACGUAGGUGACAAGCGUUGUCCGGAUUUACUGGGUGUAAAGGGCGCGUAGGCGGAUGUGCAAGUCAGUCGUGAAAUACCGGGGCUCAACCCCGUACUGCCGUUGAAACUGCAUCCCUUGAGUGGGCGAGAAGUAUGCGGAAUGCGUGGUGUAGCGGUGAAAUGCAUAGAUAUCACGCAGAACUCCGAUUGCGAAGGCAGCAUACCGGCGCCCGACUGACGCUGAGGCACGAAAGCGUGGGUAUCGAACAGGAUUAGAUACCCGAGUA
rnacentral:rRNA from 1 species